CCGCCGCCGCGGCAACCGUAAUCGCAAGGAGAGGCCUUGUUUUAUCAGCCGUGGCUUCCACUCCCCAGCUCAGUGAUUCCGGAACCGAGCUUCUCGAAAGGUAUUUGAAGAAAUCAGAGGAAAACAAAGCCAAUAAUGACAAAGAGAGAAUGGAGAACUAUUACAGGCGAAACUACAAGGACUACUUUGAAUUCGUGUAAGGGACAUUGAAAGGGAAGGAGGAACAACAGCCAACUGAGG